UUGCGUUCAAAGCCAAGGUAUAGCGUGCUAGUUGUACCGGAGAAAAUCCAACCUCCCGAUGUCUGUAAACACAAGCAGCAGCAAACAAUUCGUAUCUCGAGAUUCGGGAUUAACUGCAUUAAUUUUAUUGGCACUGUCGCAUAAUCAAGAGUUCACAUCAAGAAUAUAUGUAGAAUUCUUAAGAGAAAAAUUGAGGACUAGCAGUACUUCAUAUUUCUAGAAUAUUGCUAUUCAAAUCACAUCUCAAUAUAACAAAAGAAUUGAAAAAGAUCUUUAAGAGCAAAAGCACAAUUUCCAGUUCCAUCUGCUUUGCAACGAGUUGCAAUUCAAGCGGUGCCGGUGGCGCGAUGUUGUCAUCACGGGAAAGAUUGG